GAUGAACGCUGGCGGCGUGCCUAAUACAUGCAAGUCGAGCGAACAGACGAGGAGCUUGCUCCUCUGACGUUAGCGGCGGACGGGUGAGUAACACGUGGAUAACCUACCUAUAAGACUGGGAUAACUUCGGGAAACCGGAGCUAAUACCGGAUAAUAUAUUGAACCGCAUGGUUCAAUAGUGAAAGACGGUUUUGCUGUCACUUAUAGAUGGAUCCGCGCCGCAUUAGCUAGUUGGUAAGGUAACGGCUUACCAAGGCGACGAUGCGUAGCCGACCUGAGAGGGUGAUCGGCCACACUGGAACUGAGACACGGCCCAGACUCAUACGGGAGGCAGCAGUAGAAAAUUUUCCGAAAUGGGCGAAAGCAUGACGGAGAAACGCCGCGUGAGUGAUGAAGGUUUUCGGAGCGUAAAACUCUGUUAUUAGGGAAGAACAAAUGUGUAAGUAACUAUGCACGUCUUGACGGUACAUAAUCAGAAAGCCACGGCUAACUACG
rnacentral:rRNA from 1 species